GGGGAGCACCUAAGAGCUGAGAUGCUACCCGAUACAACCUUCCUAGAGAAAACUCUGUAGUUUCCUGCUUGUAGUGCUUAAGCAAUCCUGCAAGCCUCAAAUGUUCAGAGACAUGA
rfam:Populus trichocarpa scaffold_8_contig_223, whole genome shotgun sequence.